rnacentral:rRNA from 1 species
UACGAAGGGGGCUAGCGUUGUUCGGAAUCACUGGGCGUAAAGGGCGCGUAGGCGGCUUGAUAAGUCGGGGGUGAAAGCCUGUGGCUCAACCACAGAAUUGCCUUCGAUACUGUCGAGCUUGAGACCGGAAGAGGUAAGUGGAACUGCGAGUGUAGAGGUGAAAUUCGUAGAUAUUCGCAAGAACACCAGUGGCGAAGGCGGCUUACUGGUCCGGUUCUGACGCUGAGGCACGAAAGCGUGGGGAGCAAACAGG